CAGAGGGUGCGAGCGUUAAUCGGAAUUACUGGGCGUAAAGCGCGCGUAGGCGGCUUUGCAAGUCGGAUGUGAAAUCCCCAGGCUUAACCUGGGAACUGCAUUCGAGACUGCAUUGCUAGAGUAUGGGAGAGGGAAGUGGAAUUUCCGGUGUAGCGGUGAAAUGCGUAGAUAUCGGAAGGAACAUCAGUGGCGAAAGCGACUUCCUGGACCAAUACUGACGCUCAUGUGCGAAAGCGUGGGGAGCAAACAGGAUUAGAUACCCUGGUAGUCCACGCCAUAAACGAUGAGAACUGGAUGUCGGGAGGGUCUGCCUCUCGGUGUCGUAGCUAACGCGUUAAGUUCUCCGCCUGGGGAGUACGGCCGCAAGGUUG
rnacentral:rRNA from 1 species